rnacentral:rRNA from 1 species
UACGAGGGGGGGCUAGCGUUGUUCGGAAUCACUGGGCGUAAAGGGCGCGUAGGCGGACAGUUUAGUCAGAGGUGAAAGCCCAGGGCUCAACCUUGGAAUUGCCUUUGAUACUGGCUGUCUUGAGUUCGGGAGAGGUGAGUGGAAUGCCGAGUGUAGAGGUGAAAUUCGUAGAUAUUCGGCGGAACACCAGUGGCGAAGGCGACUCACUGGCCCGAUACUGACGCUGAGGCGCGAAAGCGUGGGGAGCAAACAGGG